rnacentral:rRNA from 1 species
GACGAACGCUGGCGGCGUGCUUAACACAUGCAAGUCGUACGGUAAGGCCCUUUAGGGGGUACACGAGUGGCGAACGGGUGAGUAACACGUGAGUAACCUGCCCACAACUUUGGGAUAACGCUAGGAAACUGGUGCUAAUACUGGAUAUGUGCUCCUGCUGCAUGGUGGGGGUUGGAAAGCUCCGGCGGUUGUGGAUGGACUCGCGGCCUAUCAGCUUGUUGGUGGGGUAGUGGCCUACCAAGGCGGCGACGGGUAGCCGGCCUGAGAGGGUGACCGGCCAACAUUGGGCUGGAGAAAGGGCCCGGCUCCUACCGGGGGGCGGCGGUGGGGAUUUUUGAACAAGGGCCGCAGCCCGAUGGCAGCAAGGCCGCUUGCGGGUAAACGGCCUCGGGUUGUAAACCGCUUUCAGCAGGGACGAAGCUUUUUGUGACGGUACCUGCAGAAGAAGCACCGGCUAACUACGUG